UGAAUAACAUAUAGUACCAUUUUGAAGGAAUUUGCUAUCCAAGUCGCAUUUUGUCCAGGGUUAUGGGAAUAAUACAUUACAUCAUAAUGCAUGGAUUCCAGUCCCUAUCUGUGAAUUUUCUCCAGCACUGGUUCUCUCAUUUAUCUUGUGAUGCCUUCUUCAAAGUGACUCAGGCAUUUCUUUUUGCCUCUAAAAUGACCUGCCAGAGCUAGGUAAAACUGCAGCUGGAGUGAGCUAUAUAGCUUACAGAGGAAAGUCAACAUAGAAGUGAUUGUUCAUUCAUCCAAAAAUAAGAGCUUCCAGCAGAAAGGGGUGGAAAUAGCCAGGCUUAUGAGAAGAAAGAAAGACAACCGCUGACAUCUGAUGAAAGACAUUUAAAGGGGGAAAUUUCUGCUGAUAUAAGUUUAAAAAAUUAAUUUCUGCUUUUGCUUACUCUUCUUUUCUUUUUAUUAACAAAGGACUCCUUGUUUUCCUUGAGGGUAGGGGGGAAAAGUAUUUUUAUUUCUUAAAAACUAAUCCCCUGCUAUGUGUUCCCUACCUGAAAUUAUCAUCUGUGAUAUUCCAGCAGGCUGCUCUGGAAAUGAUAUAUGAGGUUUCCUAGCUUGAGAUCAAAAUUCUGUGUCUGAAAAGCUGGAAAGUAAUUCCCAAGUAUUAAAUAUCAUGUAUUCAGGCAAAUAUUCCCAGUUAUUAAAUAAAAAAGGGAGACAAAUACA
rnacentral:lncRNA from 1 species